UGUAAGGUUGUUCAGAUCAGCAAGAUUGUUUAGACUCCUUCCAGGAGCAGGGACAGGUUUCCCACGAGAACGACAGGCUGC